AAUAUUUUCUAUUUAAAGUCAGUUCACAUUCAUUUUUAAAAUUCAGAAAGCAAGUCUGAGUUGGAAUCCAGCUAUUUUUAUGUUGUAACUCUCACACAUCAGUUUUGCUGUCGGGUAUUUUAGGAGUAUAUGGCUGAGUUUUUUGCUUCCCAUUUUAACUCUUCAUAUUACGCUGUUGUAUUACAACUAUCUACUGCAGUAUAGCAUUGAACAUUGGUCACAACAUCAGUGUGUCUCUCCUUCCAUCACAGACCAAGAUCUACUGGAGGAGAUCCUGAGUGACAGCUGCUUUUACUGUUCUCAGCAAAUGCCAGAUGAUCUUAUGGCUCUUGUGGUGGUCAUACUCUAUGACCUCCUGGACAGGAAGUUCCAGCCCAGAGAACCAAUUAAAAGAGCAGAAGAGGGACUUAUAAAGGAAGUCGGACAGGUGGAGGACAGUCUUUGUAGGCUGGUCGGUCCAGGAUGGGACGAUGAGGAAGAGAAGUUUUUCAGAACUCAGGCAGCUGACGUCACAAAUGGCUGUUUCUUCUGUGUGAUGAAAAGAGAAGUGAGAAAGAAG